rnacentral:rRNA from 1 species
GAAGAGUUUGAUCAUGGCUCAGAUUGAACGCUGGCGGCAGGCCUAACACAUGCAAGUCGAACGGUAACAGGAAGCAGCUUGCUGCUUUGCUGACGAGUGGCGGACGGGUGAGUAAUGUCUGGGAAACUGCCUGAUGGAGGGGGAUAACUACUGGAAACGGUGGCUAAUACCGCAUAACGUCGCAAGACCAAAGAGGGGGACCUUCGGGCCUCUUGCCAUCAGAUGUGCCCAGAUGGGAUUAGCUUGUUGGUGAGGUAACGGCUCACCAAGGCGACGAUCCCUAGCUGGUCUGAGAGGAUGACCAGCCACACUGGAACUGAGACACGGUCCAGACUCCUACGGGAGGCAGCAGUGGGGAAUAUUGCACAAUGGGCGCAAGCCUGAUGCAGCCAUGCCGCGUGUAUGAAGAAGGCCUUCGGGUUGUAAAGUACUUUCAGCGGGGAGGAAGGUGUUGUGGUUAAUAACCGCAGCAAUUGACGUUACCCGCAGAAGAAGCACCGGCUAACUCCGUGCCAGCAGCCGCGGUAAUACGGAGGGUGCAAGCGUUAAUCGGAAUUACUGGGCGUAAAGCGCACGCAGGCGGUCUGUCAAGUCGGAUGUGAAAUCCCCGGGCUCAACCUGGGAACUGCAUUCGAAACUGGCAGGCUUGAGUCUUGUAGAGGGGGGUAGAAUUCCAGGUGUAGCGGUGAAAUGCGUAGAGAUCUGGAGGAAUACCGGUGGCGAAGGCGGCCCCCUGGACAAAGACUGACGCUCAGGUGCGAAAGCGUGGGGAGCAAACAGGAUUAGAUACCCUGGUAGUCCACGCCGUAAACGAUGUCUACUUGGAGGUUGUGCCCUUGAGGCGUGGCUUCCGGAGCUAACGCGUUAAGUAGACCGCCUGGGGAGUACGGCCGCAAGGUUAAAACUCAAAUGAAUUGACGGGGGCCCGCACAAGCGGUGGAGCAUGUGGUUUAAUUCGAUGCAACGCGAAGAACCUUACCUGGUCUUGACAUCCACGGAAGUUUUCAGAGAUGAGAAUGUGCCUUCGGGAACCGUGAGACAGGUGCUGCAUGGCUGUCGUCAGCUCGUGUUGUGAAAUGUUGGGUUAAGUCCCGCAACGAGCGCAACCCUUAUCCUUUGUUGCCAGCGAUUAGGUCGGGAACUCAAAGGAGACUGCCAGUGAUAAACUGGAGGAAGGUGGGGAUGACGUCAAGUCAUCAUGGCCCUUACGACCAGGGCUACACACGUGCUACAAUGGCGCAUACAAAGAGAAGCGACCUCGCGAGAGCAAGCGGACCUCAUAAAGUGCGUCGUAGUCCGGAUUGGAGUCUGCAACUCGACUCCAUGAAGUCGGAAUCGCUAGUAAUCGUGGAUCAGAAUGCCACGGUGAAUACGUUCCCGGGCCUUGUACACACCGCCCGUCACACCAUGGGAGUGGGUUGCAAAAGAAGUAGGUAGCUUAACCUUCGGGAGGGCGCUUACCACUUUGUGAUUCAUGACUGGGGUGAAGUCGUAACAAGGUAACCGUAGGGGAACCUGC